rnacentral:lncRNA from 1 species
UAUAAUCACACAUAUAUGCACUCAAUUAGACUUAAAUUACUAAUUGAUAAUGUUAAGACAUCCUAGAACAUAAUAAACACUUUAUAUAAGUGUUUUAAGCCCUAAGGAUUGCAUUUAAGCUAUUGUGGGAUAAGGUACUUGGGUUUAGGGUUCCAAAGGACCCUAUAUAUUAGUUUACUCUCCAUAUAUCAUCACACAUGGAGUUUACGGUUGUAAAAUCUUGAGUUUACGGUCGUUAACUCCCAACCAUGGGGUAUUGUGUGUUUUGAAGUUCCAAAUGAUUCCUAGAAUUAUUCCAACUUGGUGGUUAAAUUCUUGGAAGGGUUUAAGGCCUAGAAACACUCCUUAGAGGAGUUUACGGCCCUAAUGCCAUUUCCUUUGGAGUUUACGGCCGUAAACUCCAUUGGAUUGGUAUUCUUGUUGUUUUCAAGCCUCAUGCAUAAGUGGUAUAAGUUCUAGGCUUUUAUUCCAAGCAUAUGAAGACCCUUGACACACUUUGGUGUCCUUAAAUCAUGUUUACGGCCCAUGAACCAUGUCAUGGCCGUAAAAUCAUCUUUAAAUGUGAUAUUGACAUGAUUAAGGCCUUAGAUUAAAUGGGAACAAGUCUAGAUAAAAGUCUAAAGCUUUAGGUGCCUUAAAAGCACCAUUUUGAGUUUGAAAUUGGAGUUCACGGCCUAAGAUAUUCUUGGGCCGUAAACUCCCAAACUUGGGUAAUCUUUGCUUGAUUUCAUGUCCUUAAUACACAUAUAAAUGAGUCUAAGGAAGUAGCAUAACACAAGGGUCGGUCUAGGCUUCGUUUCGGGAGUUUACUGCCCAAGAACACCUUGGGGAGUAAACUCUUAAAUCUAGUGAUUUAGCCUUCUAAAUCAUGUUAUUAACACAUAUAAAGCUUUCUAACACUACUAGAAAGAGGUACUCACGAUUUGGGAUAAAAACCCGAAGAUCCGUGAGAGAGAAAAUGGCUUUUCUCUAGUUGGAAAUGCGAAUAAUGAAUGAAUUUGGUUCAGAAUUCUAUUUAUAGUCCUGAGAUAUUUUUGGCAGAAAAUAUUUUUAUUCCUGAAAUGAUCUCUAAUAUAAUAGAGUGUUGGAAUAACAGUGUUGCACAAAACCCUAGUGCACCCACUCUCCUGAUAUUUCCUGAAGUGUAAACCCUGAGUUACUCAAACUUACACGAAAAAGUCUGAAAAUUAACUGUGACUGCUAUAACUUCUAUUGAAGUGAUAUAGUUUGUACAGAAUGGAAAUUUUGGGUUGUCACAUCAUCCCCCCGUUAGAAGGAAUUUCGUCCCAAAAUUAGAAAUUAAGCGAGUAAGUAUGUACGAAUGAUCGAGUCGUUAUGUGAACUUCCUAAUCGAUUGGUUCUCGCACUCCUAAGUGAAAUCGGGUUCUCGGUUGGUAUCCCAACGAACCUUCACUAACGGGCGACGGCGUUGCUUCGUCCGCUUGACCUCUCGGUAGAGGGUCACUACGGUUCUAAUACGAAGGCAAGGAUCUCGUAAAUCCCGAUCUCAUCAAGAGGGAUUACGAAAGUCCUAAUGGAAGGAUAUUGUUUCAUGUUCGAGACGCGAAGGGGAAAAUGUAUGUUACUGAGUUUGCGGAGUAGGUCUAGUUUGUGAAAUGCAGGACCGAUUCUGGUAAGAAUCUCGGAGGUCCUACCUAUAUUGGAUUUUAGCUUUCCACGCUUUACAAAGCGUAUUAAGCCGUUCCCAGAGUGAGGUUUCCUAAGGAAAUUGGUCUCUCACUUGGAAUUCCAAAGGUUCUUUCUCUUGCUUACUUCCCAGUCAAGGGCCAUCCCUUGCUGGGUCAAAGUCGAAAGGGUUUCUGAAAUGUGUGGGGAGUUCCGAAUGGACUAUGAUAGUAGGUUUGUAGACCUAGAAUUUGGCGAAUUUUCCGUCGGUGACUACGAUGCCGACAAAUUCCCAACGGUUUUGGAUAAUUUGACAGAGUACUCAAGAAUUUCCACAACACCAAAAGUGUGUCUCAGGAAAUUUGACUCUAAAUUUCAAAACUCUUGUUUAGAGAACUUUGCGGAAAGUAUCUCCGAGGGUAAUGUUUCUAUGGGUUCUUUCUUACUACGAGGGUGGAUAAAUAGUCAUUAUACGGAGAAAUGACGAACUGAUCCCAGUAAGAAAGGCGUACUCUACUUAUUCAGUUCAUGAAUACUAUGGGCCUAUUGGUCCUAUCUGAGGGGUAUCACUACGAACUCGAAGUAUCCGCAUCGAGUUCGGAGGGUAGUCUUUAGGACAUCCUUCCCUAACACUCGAACUGGUGAUAUUCGGAUCUUAGGUCCAUUUCUUAAGAAAUUCUUUCCCUGUGGGUGCUCAAUCAAUUCGUCUAAGCGAGGUAGAGACAACGAUUUCUAAAGGAAAUCUUAAUGAAGUCUCCGGUCCUCGAGGUACAUGAGAUACACUUCGUCGACUUCUGGUAAUAAUAAAACCGGAGCUCUAAAGGGUGAGAGGCCUGGUCUUCUAAUUCUAUUUUUAAGUAGUUCGUUGUGUUGUCCGGGUUGUUCUUGUAUCUUCCGUAGGUGUUAAGACUGAAGGCGAUCUGGUUAUAAGAGUCAUACCGGGUUCUAGGUUUGUUCCUAUGCCAAUGCAAUUACUCGUACUCCUGGACAGUCUCCGUCCUGAAGUUCAUAUUAGAAUUCAUACGUGAUUCAAUGGUCACAAUUUCGUGUAUACGAGUCGUAUAUAAUUAAGACUGAAAAGUUAGUCGAAUAACUGAUUCUUCCUUAAUCUCACAUCCCAUCAAGGGAAAAAGAAGUUAAAGUGGAAUCAUCAAUUCUAAACCUGUAGAACAUUGAUUAUAUCUCACUCUCAUGUAUACAUUCCUCCGUGAUAGAUCAACCGUAUGAAUCCUGGAAUUGAACUUGACGUACUGCACGAGUAAUAAUGUGGGGAUUCCUUCGGAAAGGAAAAGAACUAUAAGGUACUCCUUGUAUGAGUACUUCAGUGUUCUGCUAUGACGGCUUCACUAAAAGACGAUUUCUGAGAAAGAGAUGUAUUUAUGAAGCUGGUAUUGCGAGGAUCGAAUUUACUCGAGUCACAUGAUAAAUUCGGAAACAUAUGGAUACUAAAGACAUUAGAAUUGAACAUAAGGCGUUAAAGACAAAACACAACAGUGCAACCAUUAACAAAGUUACUGAACUUAGGAUUUACUACUAGACUAUUGCUGCGAACAAGGUAUACUACAAAAGACAAGUAUACGCAACACGAGCAUUCCUAAGCGGACGGGAUCUCGCAAAAGAUAAGACUCUGGUUGCACUAGUUUUGGGAUGGUUUAUAAGUCUAUUACAACGAAACGCCUAAAUUACGUUAACGUGGGUCUGGAGUAGACUCUCCUAGGGCGGUGGUUGGUAGUAGACUUUCGUCUGUGCCUGCAAUUGCUGCCCCUGGGCAGUUCCUUUUGUAGUGACCUACUUUGCCACAACCGUAGCAAACCUGGUUCCCACUAGUGUUUGGUACUUGAGCGGCCUGAUCUGUUGGCGUCCUGCAGACACGAGAUGUAUGCCCCUUCCUGUUGCAGUGUAAGCAUUGCUUCUCCCUACAAGGUCCAUGGUGGUGAAAACUGCAUUUAAUGCAUUUUGGGAGACUUCUAGCAUAAAGUUUGGCUGGUUUAGGGACAAUUGGGAUGUCCGAAGGGAUGGUAGUUGGAGGUGCUGAUGUCGUGGCUGUGAAGGUUGUUACUGGUGGUUGUUUCCUGUUCGCCCUUCGAAGCGACUUGUCCUUAGGUUUAUUCCAAGACUUCCGUUUGUUACUUGGAUUGGAAUGAUUGUUAACAAUCUCGCUAACACUUGCGUUGUUAGCGUUCAGGUGGGUCAGAAUAGUUGACACGGUAGCCGAGACUGCAGCUUGAAAGGUAGCUGCAUCGAUCUGAAGAGUUGGUGUUUGGUUGAUGGGCUGAUCGUUUUUCUUGGGUGACAUGAUUCUGUUACACCGAAAGAAAAUGAAUUUGUGAGCAAGAAUGGUUGAACCUAGACGUAGUUCGAUCGCUCAUGUAAAGAAUAGAAGUAUGUUCUCUAAGGUUCGACCUACAUCCCUAUGAUGCAGUCCUAGAAAAGAUCGGAAGUAAGUUCAUGUAAUGGUCUCAAGAUGUUCGUCGUUCUAUCCGAGGUAUCGUUGGUUGGCGAAUAACGUGAUCCAACCAUUGAAAGAGACUUGGAGAUGUCUCCGGAGUUAAAUUGCUAUAGUCCAAUGACUUGACUAGAGCAUGUUUCAAAUAGACUCUAAUGUAAGUAUGAUAAGAGUAUUUGAAUAAAGAAUGACUCAGAAGUUAGCCGACUGUCAAUAUCUUUGAUAUUCAUGACGUACAGGUUCGGGAAAAUGACCUUGUAAAAGGUCUUACAUCAUAUCNNNNNNNNNNNNNNNNNNNNNNNNNNNNNNNNNNNNNNNNNNNNNNNNNNNNNNNNNNNNNNNNNNNNNNNNNNNNNNNNNNNNNNNNNNNNNNNNNNNNNNNNNNNNNNNNNNNNNNNNNNNNNNNNNNNNNNNNNNNNACUACUGGUGAUGGUCAUCCCUCUGGUGAACUCUCAGUUCAGCCAGUUGGCAUUCCAUAUCAAGUAGGUGUCUUUCGUACACUCUCUAGCGUACCCGAUGUUCCAUGACUUCGGCUCAUGAUUCAGCCAGUGCUUGCAGCAGGGUUUCAUGGUCUCUCUCAUACCUCUCACGGGCAUGUUCAAGGCGACUGGUGCGAAGCAUAUGCAUUCCUCCAUUUGUAUCAACUUCUGCGAUACGUUGUAGAGCUGUCCUGCCCUGAAUUUCGUUUCGGGCAACUCUUUGGAUCAAAAUUGGCAUGAUUAUGUCUGCUGAGUCCCCAUUGCUAAGGUCAUAGAAGCUUCAGUCACCAUUAAAUGGCAUGGGCUGAUCUUGUCCUUGGCUCCAUGUUUCCAAACAUUCCACCCUCUCAGGCGUCGGGCCAUGAAAAGUCGGACGAGGGUUAGGAAUCAGCAAGGGAGCUGCCUGGGGUAGGUUCUCAACCUCGGGUUCGGAGAUGGCAUCGUCUAAAAGGUCUUCAGCAUGGUGAUCAUUAAGAGGGAUUGGAUGAUCAUUAACUGGUUCUUCUCCAAACCAUCCAGGAAUAACCGCGUUCGGAAGGAACAUGUUGUCGUGGGGAUGGAAUCCAGCCAUGUUAUCUACACGAGAAUUUGGGGAUAUAAGAAAUAGCUACAUAGACAAACUGACUAAGAUAAUUACAGUAAGACCAAAUACCCCUAUGGUAUUUCUUUAUGGUUGUGUUGGUAAGUUUUUAGACUUGUUGCCAUAUCACAACCAUUCUUGGGCAUAUGCUAAUCACUCCUCGGACCAGCAUAGUUGAUCAGGCUAUGCCAUUCCCAAGACUGACCAUAUAUCCCCAGGCUUACUUGUGAUAUUCAACAAUCGUAAUACUUUUGUUCUUGUCAUUGUGACACUGAUUUUAGUAUGAAUGCAGGCACGUAUACUUUGUUAAAUAUUUUAUUAUUUAAAAGUAUAAACUCUUAGACAGAGUGUUUUAAUCCCAAUGUGUUUAUAGUUAGUAUAUCUUUUAUGGGUUGAUAUACUUAAUUCACUAUAAACAAUGCUCUGAUACCAAUCUGUCACACCCCAAAACCAAGAACGGCGGAAACGUUCCGGGGUGGAGGACGUCAUGUACAGUAUCACAACAGUGUAAAAUAGUAAACAAGCAACAACAUCAUCCAUUGCAUUAUAAGUAAAGUUUUAAUACAUGUGUGUUCUUUCAUUGUAAUAAGACACCAAAAAUAUACAAUCAAAAUAAAAGACGAGACUUGUCUGCUCCGUCUUCUCAAAACCUGGCCAUCGUACCUGUCUACUGAUGACCUGAGAAUACAAGUUAUUUUGAAAGAGAGUAUCAGCUUUAAAGCUGGUGAAUUCAUAAGUAAUUAAGGUGUCAUUGUCUGGCUUAUGAAAAUCUAUUAUGAAGGCCAUGUAAACCUUUAAUGAAAAUGUUGAUGUAAGUAUGAAAAACCCUAGAAAAUCCCUUGCUUUCUAUAAGUAUGAAAUGUAGUCUUCUACCAAGACCCGAAUGUUUUGUUAUGACAAUGUAGUCUUCUACCAAGACCCGAAUGUUUUGUUAUGACAAUGUAGUCUUCUACCAAGACCCGAAUGUUUUGUUAUGAUAAUGUAGUCUUCUACCAAGACCCGAAUGUUUUGUUAUGACAAUGUAGUCUUCUACCAAGACCCGAAUGUUUUGUUAUGAAAAUGUAGUCUUCUACCAAGACCCGAAUGUUUUGUUAUGACAAUGUAGUCUUCUACCAAGACCCGAAUGUUUUGUUAUGACAAUGUAGUCUUCUACCAAGACCCGAAUGUUUUGUUAUGACAAUGUAGUCUUCUACCAAGACCCGAAUGUUUUGUUAUGAAAAUGUAGUCUUCUACCAAGACCCGAAUGUUUUGUAAGUUAAAUGAUAGUUUUUCCUUUAAUUGUUUAGUACUAAAGUACUUAGUCUAACUCAUCGUUUAUGUGAAAGUAUCACAAAAUAAAGUAAACAGGAAAAUGUACUACUGUAAGUGUUGUCACUGGGUACUAGGACUAACACAACAUCGCAUUAAGCGAAAUAUGUAACCUAAUGAACAUCCGAAGAUUGUCCAGAAAAAGUAUUAAUGUAAGUGUCAUCGCUGGGUACUAGGAGUAACACAACAUCGCAAUAAGCGAAAGGUAUAACCUUAUGAACAAUCGAAGAUUGUCCACUUGUCCUCUGUAGCAGCAGCAGGUGGGUGGAGGGGUUAGCCCCGGUUAUCGAUCUACCUAGUAUAAGUAGUAACCUUAGACCUCCGUAGAUGGUCAUCGACCACUGGUGCUAAUCAGUGGGGUUCGGAAUGGUAAGUCCCGCCGAGAUAUCCCAUUGAACCGGGAUAGGAAAGAUAAUUUACACAGAAAGUACUAAUAAAUCAUCCUCGUAGUUCUAAGUACAAGUAUCCAGGUAAGUGAAUACAGGAUAAUGCACCUAUGUAAAAGUGUUCCUGUAUGGUAUUCAUGUAAGUGUGUUCAUGUAACAGGUAAGUAUAUGUAAACAUAUUCAUGUAUCAGGUAAGCAUAUGUAUAUGUACUCAUGUAUCAGGUAAUGUACUGGUAUAGACUCAUGAAUGAACUGACUCUUGUGUGAUUCCUUGUAAUAGGAAUAAUGUUUGAUAUCUUCAAAUUAUCCCUAUGAUAAUUUACUGAAUGGUAAUUAGUUGUUCAAGUAGGUUUAUACACUCUUACUACUCAAGGGUGUGAGAAACUAAAUGAAAGAUGUAAACUAUAACAUCAAUACAUAUAUAAGAAUAUAAGUGUAUAUGCAUAGUUUAGUUCAAGAAUGUAAAAUGGUUUUGUAAGACAUCUUAUUGGUUUUGAACAAUAAUUAACAAUGACUUGAUGUCAAUUUAAUAUACAUUUCAAAGGUAAAACAUUUGAUAACAAUGUGUUUUUAAGAUUUAAAACCAUUUCAUGCAUCACAUUUUGUAGCAUGUGAAAUCUGUAAAUGACAAACACAGUUAUAAAAUACAUAUCAAUGAUUUAAUAACAUGUUUGUUUCUACUUGUAUUCCCCCCAUUUUAAAGCAUUUAAAAUCAUUUAAAACAUUGAUUAGGGGUAUGAACUCACCUGUAGUUGGUAGUUUAGAUGAACUGGACGGUGUAGGAUUGUUAGGUGUCAAGUGAGGACUUGUACACACACUACGAUCCUAAUGAACAUAUAAUCACACAUAUAUGCACUCAAUUAGACUUAAAUUACUAAUUGAUAAUGUUAAGACAUCCUAGAACAUAAUAAACACUUUAUAUAAGUGUUUUAUGCCCUAAGGAUUGCAUUUAAGCUAUUGUAGGACAAGGUACUUGAGUUUAGGGUUCCAAAGAACCCUAUAUAUUAGUUUACUCUCCAUAUAUCAUCACACAUGGACUUUACGGUUGUAAACUCUUGAGUUUACGGCCGUAAACUCCCAACCAUCGGGUAUUGUGUGUUUUGAAGUUCCAAAUGAUUCCUAGAAUUAUUCCAACUUGGUGGUUAAAUUCUUGGAAGGGUUUAAGGCCUAGAAACACUCCUUAGAGGAGUUUACGGCCCUAAUGCCAUUUCCUUUGGAGUUUACGGCCGUAAACUCCAUUGGAUUGGUAUUCUUGUUGUUUUCAAGCCUCAUGCAUAAGUGGUAUAAGUUCUAGGCUUUUAUUCCAAGCAUAUGAAGACCCUUGACACACUUUGGUGUCCUUAAAUCAUGUUUACGGCCCAUGAACCAUGUCAUGGUCGUAAAAUCAUCUUUAAAUGUGAUAUUGACGUGAUUAAGGCCUUAGAUUAAAUGGGAACAAGUCUAGAUAAAAGUCUAAAGCUUUAGGUGCCUUAAAAGCACCAUUUUGAGUUUGAAAUUGGAGUUCACGGCCUAACAUAUUCUUGGGCCGUAAACUCCCAAACUUGGGUAAUCUUUGCUUGAUUUCAUGUCCUUAAUACACAUAUAAAUGAGUCUAAGGAAGUAGCAUAACACAAGUCGGUAUAGGNAACACAAGGGUCGGUCUAGGCUUCGUUUCGGGAGUUUACUGCCCAAGAACACCUUGGGGAGUAAACUCUUAAAUCUAGUGAUUUAGCCUUCUAAAUCAUGUUAUUAACACAUAUAAUGCUUUCUAACACUACUAGAAAGAGGUACUCACGAUUUGGGAUAAAAACCCGAAGAUCCAUGAGAGAGAAAAUGGCUUUU